rnacentral:rRNA from 1 species
UACGAAGGGGGCGAGCGUUGUUCGGAUUUACUGGGCGUAAAGCGUGCGCAGGCGGUGAUGUAAGACAGAUGUGAAAUCCCCGGGCUCAACCUGGGAACUGCAUUUGUGACUGCAUCGCUGGAGUGCGGCAGAGGGGGAUGGAAUUCCGCGUGUAGCAGUGAAAUGCGUAGAUAUGCGGAGGAACACCGAUGGCGAAGGCAAUCCCCCUGGGCCUGCACUGACGCUCAUGCACGAAAGCGUGGGGAGCAAACAGG